CAGACUUCGGAGACGCAGCUAUAUUUCAGGCUGUCAGGGCAAGUCUUCGUAGCCGCAUCGCCUGUGAAGAAGCCCUGUACGGCAUUCUGGAGUGCUCUCGCCGCUGGCUGACGUCUACUCAACUUUUCCGUCACGUUCAGGCACAAGGUGGCCGCGUCCGUACUGUGGCAGAAGUGCUAAAUCUUGUUCGAGCAAGGAUUCACUGAGCCCUUCGUAGAGAGAGAGAGACCUGCGCUGGGAGCUGUGCACUUCGCAAGGCGGUGGCAGACGUCUUCGGUCCUCUUUGAAGAUGACAGAGUGCCUUCCUCGAGGAACUUUCUGCCAGCUUGGUCCUCUACAGGAAAAGACCUGGUCGUUCGUCACAGGAGAACCUCCCCAUCCGACGGCCCCUGAAGAUGGCGCAGCUCCCCAUGCGACGGCCCCUGAAGAUGGCACAAGAUGUACCACGGGACGUGAGAACUGAUGCCACACAACAUUGGCCCAUUUGGGGGGAAAAGAGAAACAGGUGUAAGGCAUGCACAUUUACACCUAGGCUACACGUACAUUUCAUGCUCAAAGUGCACCUUGCGCCUGUGUAUCAACAAAGAUCGAAAUUGUUUUAUAAGCUUCCACGGACUUUAGAUAGCUUUCCCACUUCUAUUCCCCAGCUUUUCAUGUACUUUUGACACAGUUGUCUCACCGCACUGACUUAUGCAUUAUUCAUUUACUGCCCACCGUUGCAGAUGUGCAACGACCUGUAAUAAAAUAUCG